rnacentral:rRNA from 1 species
GAUGAACGCUGGCGGCGUGCUUAACACAUGCAAGUCGAACGAAGCACUUUACCGGAUUUCUUCGGAAUGAAAGUUUUGUGACUGAGUGGCGGACGGGUGAGUAACGCGUGGGUAACCUGCCUCAUACAGGGGGAUAACAGUUAGAAAUGACUGCUAAUACCGCAUAAGACUACAGGACCGCAUGGCCCGGUGGUAAAAACUCCGGUGGUAUGAGAUGGACCCGCGUCUGAUUAGCUAGUUGGUAAGGUAACGGCUUACCAAGGCGACGAUCAGUAGCCGACCUGAGAGGGUGACCGGCCACAUUGGGACUGAGACACGGCCCAA